UACCUGGUUGAUCCUGCCAGUAGCAUAUGCUUGUCUCAAAGAUUAAGCCAUGCAAGUCUAAGUACAAGCCUCAUUAAGGUGAAACUGCGAAUGGCUCAUUAAAUCACACCUAAUCUACUGGAAUGUUAGCAGUUACUUGGAUAACUGAGGUAAUUCUUGAGCUAAUACAUGCGAAAAAUCUCGACUCACGAAGAGAUGCUUUUAUUAGAUCAAAACCAAACGGCUCACGCCGUUCCACUGGUGACUCUGAAUAACUUUGGGCUGAUCGCAUUGCCUUGUGCAGGCGACAUUUCCUUUGAAGGUGUGCCCUAUCAACUGUCGACUGUGAUAUAGACGCUCACAGUGGUUUUGACGGGUAACGGGGAAUCAGGGUUCGAUUCCGGAGAGGGAGCCUUAGAAACGGCUACCACAUCCAAGGAAGGCAGCAGGCACGCAAAUUACCCAAUGAUCAAAGAUCGAGGUAGUGACGAAAAAUAACGAUACUAGACUCUUCCGAGGCCUAGUAAUUGGAAUGAGUACAUUUUAAAACCCUUCCCGAGGAUCUAUUGGAGGGCAAGUCUGGUGCCAGCAGCCGCGGUAAUUCCAGCUCCAAUAGCGUAUAUUAAAGUUGUUGUGGUUAAAAAGCUCGUAGUUGGAUUUCGGCGGGUAGAAUCCGGUUCGGAUUGUUUCGAUACUGACUUUGUUACCCGUGUUUUGUGCCAGAAUUCAUCGGGUGCUCUUCACUGAGUGUCAGUUGGAGCUGGCAGGUUUACUUUGAAAAAAUUAGAGUGCUCAAAGCAAGCUUGAUGGCUUGAAUAUUCGUGCAUGGAAUAAUAGAAUAGGAAGUCGUUUCUAUUUUGUUGGUUUUCGGAAAUCGACUUAAUGAUUAAUAGGGACAGUCGGGGACAUUUGUAUUCAAACGACAGAGGUGAAAUUCUUGGACCGUUUGAGGACAAACUACUGCGAAAGCAAUUGUCAAGCUUGUUUUCAUUAAUCAAGAACGAAAGUUAGAGGUUCGAAGGCGAUUAGAUACCGCCCUAGUUCUAACCAUAAACGAUGCCAGCUAGCGAUCUGCCGGCGUUUCUAUUUCGACCUGGCAGGGAGCUUCCGGGAAACCAAAGCUAUCGGGUUCCAGGGGAAGUAUGGUUGCAAAGCUGAAACUUAAAGUAAUUGACGGAAGGGCACCACCAGGAAUGGAGCCUGUGGCUUAAUUUGACUCAACACGGGAAAACUCACCAGGCCAGGACACUGGAAGGAUUGACAGAUUGAUAGCUCUUUCUUGAUUCGGUGGUUGGUGGUGCAUGGCCGUUCUUAGUUGGUGGAGUGAUUUGUCUGGUUAAUUCCGAUAACGAACGAGACUCUGUCCUGCUAACUAGCUCCGCCCUUAUCAUUGGGGCGGAUAUUCUUCUUAGAGGGACUGGCGAUUACUAGUCGCACGAGAUUGAGCAAUAACAGGUCUGUGAUGCCCUUAGAUGAACUGGGCCGCACACGCGCUACACUGAAUCGAUCAGCUAGUUACUUCCUGCUCCGAGAGGAGCGGGUAAACUGUUGAACCCGAUUCGUGGUAGGGAUCGGAGCUUGCAAUUAUUCUCCGUGAACCAGGAACUCCCAGUAGGCGCGAGUCAUCAGCUUGCGUCGAUUACGUCCCUGCCCUUUGUACACACCGCCCGUCGCUACUACCGAUUGAGUGUUUUAGUGAGGUCCUUGGAUUGUUUGCCUGGCGGGUAACCUCGCCUAGCCGACGAGAAGACGACCGAACUGUAGCACUUAGAGGAAGUAAAAGUCGUAACAAGGUUUCCGUAGGUGAACCUGCGGAAGGAUCAUUA
rnacentral:rRNA from 1 species